rnacentral:rRNA from 1 species
AUUGAACGCUGGCGGCAUGCCUUACACAUGCAAGUCGAACGGUAACAGGUCUUCGGAUGCUGACGAGUGGCGAACGGGUGAGUAAUACAUCGGAACGUGCCUAGUAGUGGGGGAUAACUACUUGAAAGAGUGGCUAAUACCGCAUGAGAUCUACGGAUGAAAGCAGGGGAUCGCAAGACCUUGUGCUACUAGAGCGGCCGAUGGCAGAUUAGGUAGUUGGUGGGAUAAAAGCUUACCAAGCCGACGAUCUGUAGCUGGUCUGAGAGGACGAUCAGCCACACUGGGACUGAGACACGGCCCAGACUCCUACGGGAGGCAGCAGUGGGGAAUUUUGGACAAUGGGCGCAAGCCUGAUCCAGCAAUGCCGCGUGCAGGAUGAAGGCCUUCGGGUUGUAAACUGCUUUUGUACGGAACGAAAAGCCCCGGGUUAAUACCCUGGGGUCAUGACGGUACCGUAAGAAUAAGCACCGGUUAACUACGUGCCAGCAGCCGCCGUAA